rnacentral:rRNA from 1 species
UAUGUGAUCGUCUCUCGCAUAUCAAUAAGCGGAGGAAAAGAAACUAACAAGGAUUCCCCUAGUAACGGCGAGUGAAGCGGGAAGAGCUCAAAUUUGAAAUCUUAAAGGGUUUCCCUUUACGAAUUGUAGUUUAAAGAAGUGUUUUCUGUUGAGGUUUUGGUAAAAGUUCUUUGGAAUAGGACAUCAUAGAGGGUGAGAAUCCCGUAUUUGACCUUUACUUUCAACUUUGUGAUACACUUUCAAAGAGUCGGAUUGUUUGGGAAUGCAGUCCAAAGUGGGUGGUAAAUUUCAUCUAAAGCUAAAUAUUGGCGAGAGACCGAUAGCGAACAAGUACCGUGAGGGAAAGAUGAAAAGAACUUUGAAAAGAGAGUUAAACAGUACGUGAAAUUGUCAAAAGGGAAGCGUUUGACACCAGUGUUGUUUUUCUGAAAAUCAAUUAAAGAACUGUUUAUGCUAAGCUGUUUAGACUUUAUCAGCUAUCUGUUUAGUUUUGAGCUUUUCUUUAAUGCACUUUUCAGUUAACAAGUCAACAUCAAUUUCUUUUGCUGUAAAAAAGCUUGAGGAAGGUGGCUUGAGAUUCGUCUUAAGUGUUUAUAGCCUCUUGCCUAUGCAGUCGGAGAGAUUGAGGUCUGCAGCGUAGAUCCUUCGGGGCUAAAUGCAUUUGUGCUAAGUUAUAACAUUUUAUAGACAACUUGUUGACUAUGAUUUGUCUUGUAGCUUACUCGCUUAUGUUAUUUUACCUACGCUUAGGAUGUUGAAUCUGUGCGAGACUAC